UGAUUCCUUUGCUGGUUGGCU
ensembl:piRNA 21ur-8455 ncRNA